AUGCUCGAGCGGAUGACGGGAGCUUGCUCCUUGAUUCAGCGGCGGACGGGUGAGUAAUGCCUAGGAAUCUGCCUGGUAGUGGGGGACAACGUUUCGAAAGAACGCUAAUACCGCAUACGUCCUACGGGAGAAAGCAGGGGACCUUCGGGCCUUGCGCUAUCAGAUGAGCCUAGGUCGGAUUAGCUAGUUGGUGGGGUAAUGGCUCACCAAGGCGACGAUCCGUAACUGGUCUGAGAGGAUGAUCAGUCACACUGGAACUGAGACACGGUCCAGACUCCUACGGGAGGCAGCAGUGGGGAAUAUUGGACAAUGGGCGAAAGCCUGAUCCAGCCAUGCCGCGUGUGUGAAGAAGGUCUUCGGAUUGUAAAGCACUUUAAGUUGGGAGGAAGGGCAGUAAGCUAAUACCUUGCUGUUUUGACGUUACCGACAGAAUAAGCACCGGCUAACUCUGUGCCAGCAGCCGCGGUAAUACAGAGGGUGCAAGCGUUAAUCGGAAUUACUGGGCGUAAAGCGCGCGUAGGUGGUUCGUUAAGUUGGAUGUGAAAGCCCCGGGCUCAACCUGGGAACUGCAUCCAAAACUGGCGAGCUAGAGUACGGUAGAGGGUGGUGGAAUUUCCUGUGUAGCGGUGAAAUGCGUAGAUAUAGGAAGGAACACCAGUGGCGAAGCGACCACCUGGACUGAUACUGACACUGAGUGCGAAAGCGUGGGGAGCAAACAGGAUUAGAUACCCUGUAGUCCACGCCGUAACGAUGUCAACUAGCCUUGGAAUCCUUGAGAUUUUAGUGGCGCACUAACGCAUUAAGUUGACCGCCUGGGGGUAGGCCGCGGUUAAAACUCAAUGAAUUGACGGGGGCCCGCACAGCGGGCAGUGGUUUAUCGAAGCCGCAAUUACCUGCGCAAUUUCAUUGCUGAUCUGAGCUGCAGCGUCAGCGGAUGGUACUGGGGAGCAACAA
rnacentral:rRNA from 1 species